rnacentral:rRNA from 1 species
CCUACGGGAGGCAGCAGUGGGGAAUAUUGGGCAAUGGGCGCAAGCCUGACCCAGCAACGCCGCGUGAAGGAAGAAGGCUUCCGGGUUGUAAACUUCUUUUCUCAGGGACGAAGCAAGUGACGGUACCUGAGGAAUAAGCCACGGCUAACUACGUGCCAGCAGUCGCGGUAAUACGUAGGUGGCAAGCGUUAUCCGGAUUUACUGGGUGUAAAGGGCGAGUAGGCGGGAAAGCAAGUCAGAUGUGAAAACCAUGGGCUCAACCUGUGGCCUGCAUUUGAAACUGUUUUUCUUGAGUACUGGAGGGGCAGACGGAAUUCCUAGUGUAGCGGUGAAAUGCGUAGAUAUUAGGAGGAACACCAGUGGCGAAGGCGGUCUGCUGGACAGCAACUGACGCUGAGGCGCGAAAGCGUGGGGAGCAAACAGGAUUAGAUACCCCAGUAGUC